rnacentral:rRNA from 1 species
UACAGAGGUCCCAAGCGUUGUUCGGAUUCAUUGGGCGUAAAGGGUGCGUAGGCGGUCGGGUAAGUCUGCUGUGAAAUCUCACAGCUUAACUGUGAAACUGCAUUGGAUACUAUCCGGCUCGAGGAAUGGAGGGGAGACUGGAAUACUUGGUGUAGCAGUGAAAUGCGUAGAUAUCAAGUGGAACACCAGUGGCGAAGGCGAGUCUCUGGACAUUUCCUGACGCUGAGGCACGAAAUCCAGGGGAGCAAACGGG